rnacentral:rRNA from 1 species
UACGUAGGGUGCGAGCGUUAAUCGGAAUUACUGGGCGUAAAGCGUGCGCAGGCGGUUGUGCAAGACAGAUGUGAAAUCCCCGGGCUUAACCUGGGAACUGCAUUUGUGACUGCACGGCUAGAGUGUGUCAGAGGGGGGUAGAAUUCCACGUGUAGCAGUGAAAUGCGUAGAUAUGCGGAGGAACACCGAUGGCGAAGGCAAUCCCCUGGGCCUGUACUGACGCUCAUGCACGAAAGCGUGGGGAGCAAACAGG